rnacentral:snRNA from 1 species
AGAUCACUUGAGCCCGGGAAGUUGAGGCUGUAGUGAGCCAUGCUCGUGCCGCUGCGCUCCAACCUGGGUGACAGAC